rnacentral:hammerhead_ribozyme from 1 species
GCACUGUUGACGAGUCCCACACAGUACGAAACAACUGUCCAGUGC